ACGAAGCAUUUGCGACAGAUUUCUUCGGGAUGAAGUUGCUUAUGACUGAGUGGCGGACGGGUGAGUAACGCGUGGGUAACCUGCCUUGUACUGGGGGAUAGCAGCUGGAAACGGCUGGUAAUACCGCAUAAGCGCACAAUGUUGCAUGACAUGGUGUGAAAAACUCCGGUGGUAUAAGAUGGACCCGCGUCUGAUUAGCUAGUUGGUGAGAUAACAGCCCACCAAGGCGACGAUCAGUAGCCGACCUGAGAGGGUGACCGGCCACAUUGGGACUGAGACACGGCCCAGACUCCUACGGGAGGCAGCAGUGGGGAAUAUUGCACAAUGGAGGAAACUCUGAUGCAGCGACGCCGCGUGAGUGAAGAAGUAAUUCGUUAUGUAAAGCUCUAUCAGCAGGGAAGAUAGUGACGGUACCUGGCUAAGAAGCUCCGGCUAAAUACGUGCCAGCAGCCGCGGUAAUACGUAUGGAGCAAGCGUUAUCCGGAUUUACUGGGUGUAAAGGGAGUGUAGGUGGCCAUGCAAGUCAGAAGUGAAAAUCCGGGGCUCAACCCCGGAACUGCUUUUGAAACUGUAAGGCUGGAGUGCAGGAGGGGUGAGUGGAAUUCCUAGUGUAGCGGUGAAAUGCGUAGAUAUUAGGAGGAACACCAGUGGCGAAGGCGGCUCACUGGACUGUAACUGACACUGAGGCUCGAAAGCGUGGGGAGCAAACAGGAUUAGAUA
rnacentral:rRNA from 1 species